rnacentral:rRNA from 1 species
UGGGGGAAUAUUGGACAAUGGGGGGCAACCCUGAUCCAGCAAUGCCGCGUGUGUGAAGAAGGUCUUCGGAUUGUAAAGCACUUUCGACGGGGACGAUGAUGACGGUACCCGUAGAAGAAGCCCCGGCUAACUUCGUGCCAGCAGCCGCGGUAAUACGAAGGGGGCUAGCGUUGCUCGGAAUGACUGGGCGUAAAGGGCGUGUAGGCGGUUUACACAGUCAGAUGUGAAAUCCCCGGGCUUAACCUGGGAGCUGCAUUUGAUACGUGUAGACUAGAGUGUGAGAGAGGGUUGUGGAAUUCCCAGUGUAGAGGUGAAAUUCGUAGAUAUUGGGAAGAACA